rnacentral:rRNA from 1 species
AACGAACGCUGGCGGUAGGCCUAACACAUGCAAGUCGAGCGAGGGCUUCGGAUCUAGUGGCGGAUGGGGGUGUCACGUGUCGGAAUGUGCCCUUCUCCACGGGAUACUCCUUGUAAACUGGGAGUAAUACCGGAAACGCUCUAUUAGGGACAGAUUUAUCGUAGAAGGAUAAGCCCGCGUUGGAUUAGGUAGUUGGUGGGGUAAUGGCCUACCAAGCCGACGAUCCGUAGCGGGUUUGAGAGGAUGAUCAGCUACACUGGGACUGAGAAACGGUCCAGACUCCUACGGGAGGCAGCAGUGGGGAAUAUUGGACGAGGGGCGCAAGCCUGAUCCAGCCAUACCGCGUGAGUGAAGAAGGCGUUCGGGUGGUAAAGCCAUGUUGUUGGGAAAGAAAAGCAGCAGGUUAAUAUGCCGCUGUUAUGACGGUACCCAAAGAAUAAGCACCGGCUAACUUCGUG